GAUGAACGCUGGCGGCGUGCUUAACACAUGCAAGUCGAACGGUGAAAGCGGAGCUUGCUCCGCUGGAUCAGUGGCGAACGGGUGAGUAACACGUGGGCAACCUGCCCCUCACUUCGGGAUAACUCCGGGAAACCGGGGCUAAUACCGGAUAUGACCUCCUUGGGCAUCCUUGGAGGUGGAAAGUUUUUCGGUGAGGGAUGGGCCCGCGGCCUAUCAGCUUGUUGGUGAGGUAGUGGCUCACCAAGGCGACGACGGGUAGCCGGCCUGAGAGGGCGACCGGCCACACUGGGACUGAGACACGGCCCAGACUCCUACGGGAGGCAGCAGUGGGGAAUAUUGCGCAAUGGGCGAAAGCCUGACGCAGCAACGCCGCGUGCGGGAUGACGGCCUUCGGGUUGUAAACCGCUUUCAGCAGGGAAGAAGCCGCAAGGUGACGUUACCCACAGAAGAAGCACUGGCUAACUCUGUGCCAGCCGCCGCGGUAA
rnacentral:rRNA from 1 species